AAGAGCACUCCCAGAAAAACUUCUUAGAUGUAAACCUCCAUCUUACCAUCUGUUUCUUGGGAAAUCAAACCUAAGAUAUCAGAAAAUCACAGGGAUACAAGAGAGUAUAGCCAAAAUCAGAGAGAUCGAACACAGCAAUGUUUAAGGAGUGGGCAAAAGAAAAAGGGACAAAAUAUAUUGAAAGGGAAAAGAACAUAGAGGUAAAGAAGAAAAAGUAACAAGGAAAACAGAAUUAUAAGAAGACUCUGAUCUUACUGUUCAUUAGGCAAUUGGAUAAUAGGAUCAGCAGAGGUUAAGACUGGAUUUGGGAGUUUCAACAUAAAGAUGUGAUAAGGCAUUUUUUCCAAGAAACUUGACUGUAAAGAGAAAAAGACAUAAAUAGGAUUAUGAAGAGAGGAGGAUGCAGGAUUAAGACAGAUGACAUGAGGACUCCAAGACAUGGUGAACAGAGAGGAGUGCUCAUACCACGUGGGGAAAGCAUCAAGAGAUGAAGAGCACAGACAGAAAUGAAGUUAGAACUAUAACAAUAAAUGAGUCCUUCCAGGAAGGCUUUUUGUGCAGAUGUGUCUUCUUCUGUUUAAUAAAGAUUUAUUAGGUACCUCUUAUGUGCUCAGUGCUAUGCUAAGCACUGAAUACCAAGGCAAAGAAGAUGUGGUCCCUACCCAGACAGAG